AUGUAUGGGUGUGUGGGUGUGCGUCUAUCAUUGAGACAGCCAUCAGAUCUCUGCCUCUGAUGCUCAGCUUGUUAAAGCAUCUCUACGGUGAGAUGCGGUGUCCACCGCGCUCUGCUUACAGCACGACUCUGUAAGAUUUCUACCACUGGCAACUCUUAGAUUCUUCAGUGGUAACAUCAAAAAGUUUCCCCAGUGUUGAUUUCACUUCUGUUCUAUUCUUUUUGUAGUUGUGUUCCCAUCUGUUAAAGUGCCACUCGCCGAUCUUACACAUGUUUACUUGUUGUUUAAUAUCGUCUGUGGCCGAGAGAGCUUUUUAAGUGUCCCAGUGAUGUCAUUAGGGUUACCUUGGAGGAGGGAGGUGUAGUGAAAGCGCUCUAGGUGUCAGCGUGACCCAACCAGAGCUUUUUCUGCGCUCAGACAAAAACAGCAAUAUGAAUCAUAGAGCAGUCUGUGUAGCAGGGAUGUGAAGAUCAGUAGCCGUGUGUCGGCUCAUACGUCAGGUGUGUACAGUAACCGACUGCGUCAUAUGGAAGAGGAUUAGGGCCACGUGGGAAACAUUAGUCAGAAUCCUGACAUUUUAUCUUCUGACCUUAAACUCGGCCCUCAAAUACAGGUUUUUACAUGUGACACUAAUCAAGCUUUACUUAAUCAGGGGCAUUUUGGAAACAGUUGGCCACCUUAAAUUUACCAAUUAUCAGAUUCUGUUCUCAAAAAUCUCUAUUUUUAAGCAAAGAACUUUUUGUAACCCAAAAGUAGCGUAUGCUUCCUUUUAUAGCAACCAAUUUAUAGGAGUUUUCAGAUGGAAUGAACAUGUUUCAAUAUUUUCCACCCCUAUGUGAAUGUCACUCCCUUCACAUUUUUGUUGACGUCAUUUAAAUGUCUGGCUUGAGAAGUCUCAAGCUUAACUUCUUAAAGAAUUUAUUUUAUCUACUGUAAAAAAACCUUUUCAGACUCACUAUAUUGUACAUUUAAGAAGAUGUUUAGAGCUAAGUGUGUUUCAGUAUUUUUGGUUAGAGAAAUGUUUUAUUGAAGUAUUAUUAUUGCCCUAUUGGAGAGAGGAGGGCGACAUGUUUCCUCUCGGUCCGUUCUUGCUGUGACUCUGUGCAUUUGGGUGUUUUCUGGGCUUUUCCCUGGUAGCUGGUGUGUGUCAUCCUCUCUGUCGCCGUGCGAGUGGAAGCAACCAGACAGCCGUUACAUGUUGUAGCACUGUAUAGACCUUCUUCACGGCAGACAUGUUGACAUGUCAUAGUGUAUUCACAACCAUUAAUGAUGGCUGCAUUCCACUUAGGAGAGGCCCUGAAAUAGCUCAGUGGGACGCAGGUUUUCAGCUGUGCUUUUCCUUCUCUGACAAGUCAAACAUGUCUGCUGUGAAAAGGUCUGUUGCAUCGUCUGCCUCCAGACAGUUAAGCUGAGGACCGGUGUCCAGAAUUGGCCGAUCUCCUAUAUAUCUGUGGCUCUACUGCCUGCUGUACGUGGUGGUUUGGUGUUUUCAGCCCUGCAGCUCUGGACUGCCGCUGCUCUGUCUGGUGUUACCGUCGGCCACUAGAGAGAGCCGGAGCUCCUGUGGUCGGUCGCUCAGUGGGGCGCUGAUGCUGCGUCUGAGCACUAAGCUUUGCCCCUGUUGUUUCUGCUGUUUGAUACAUUCCAGUAGUGUUAGGGACAUACCACUUACAACACCAAUUUAUGCUUGGAUAUGAAAGAGAUUUUCUGAGAACUAAUGCUGUACAAUGUCCACGGAAUCCUCUAACCUGGUGCAUUAUUAAAAAAAUGAAUGUUACCCACAAAGCAGUUACAUACAGACAGAAACAAAUGUGAAAUUUCUUUAGGGGGUGUGAUGCAGAGACGGUUUACCUAAAGCAGAACUGUACGCCUUUGAAAACCGCUCCACAUGCAAUAACUAGAGCAUCAUGACAGCGAUUCCUUCCAUUUCUACUUUCAUCUGAUACCAAUCUAUUUAUGACUCUAGCUUUAAAACAGAGCCUCUAAAAAGGUCGAUCUCGAGGGAUUUAUGAAUUACUGUCGGAUCAGUUAAUUACAGAUGGUUUACAGUCGGGAAAUGGAUUCUUUUUAAACCCAGCCCUACAUUCCAGUACCCCUAAAGUUAAGAUGCGCGCAGGGAGGCAGGAAAGAAAGCAUAGAUAGAAAGGAGUUGGGACUGUCUACAUGCUUAGGCUCCCCUUUGUUGACAUUUUAUUUAGUGGUUGUAGAUCUUCUUUAAAA